rnacentral:rRNA from 1 species
CUACGGGACGCUCCAGUGAGGAAUAUUGCACAAUGGGGGCAACCCUGAUGCAGCAACGCCGCGUGGAGGAUGACGCAUUUCGGUGUGUAAACUCCUUUUAUCAGAGAAGAACCAUGACGGUAUCUGAUGAAUAAGCUCCGGCUAACUCCGUGCCAGCAGCCGCGGUAAUACGGAGGGAGCAAGCGUUAUUCGGAAUCACUGGGCGGAAAGGACGCGUAGGCCGGUCUGUAAGUCAGGUGUGAAAUGCAAUGGCUCAACCAUUGAACUGCACUUGAAACUGCGGACCUAGAGUAUGGAAGGGGCAGAUGGAAUUAGUGGUGUAGGGGUAAAAUCCGUAGAUAUCACUAGGAAUACCGAAAGCGAAGGCGAUCUGCUGGGACAUAACUGACGCUGAGGCGUGAAAGCGUGGGGAGCAAACAGGAUUAGAUACCCGCGUAGUC